AAGAAAAUCUAAGGGAAAUAUACCCAAACCCAGGCUCCAAAACGAAAUCAGAUGUUUGGAAAUUCUUCGGAUUUUAUAAAAUUAAUGAUAAUGAACCACCAUCAAAAAAGAAUUUGGAUACAACGCAAGCUGUUUGCCGUCUAUGCCGCAAGAUUUACAGAAAUACAGGAAAUACUACGAAUUUCAGAGCCCAUAUUGACGGGGAACACAAAUUACCAUCGGGAAAUUCCACACAAUCGCGAUCAGACAAAGUUGAAACAAAAUUAGUUCAACCAACAAUAUUGGCUGCAUUUGUCAAAAGAUGUGAUGUUGUAUCAGGAUCAAAUACUGUAUUGAGUCAAGAACGGAGAGGACGGGUCGAUGAUGCAAUAUAUCAACUAGUAUCUAGCUACCCUGGUAGCCAAAUUGCAAAGACAUUAAAAACAAUAAUUUCCAGGGAGAUUUGAGUGCAUGUAUUGUAUUUGCAUUUGUGAGUUUUUCACCCUUGUACAUGUUCAAUAAAUGCUUACUAUUAUUUUCUAGUCAAAAAAAUGGUGUGUCAAAAAUGUCAAAAACUGUCAAUUGUCUAGUCAAGAAUGUUUAGUUAUUGCUCUGUUAUACUAAAUUGUUAUUGUUUAUCAGUUUAAUAGCUCAAUUAAGCUGUUUUCAUUGUUAAUAAAAAUAUUGUUUUUCUUGA